UGAGAGUUAUAACAAAGACAAGUACUCCAUUGACUGUGAUAACAUACAAAUGGAAAUACUAUUAUUUAGGAAGAAAUAACCAGCUUGAAUAAUCUUACAAACUUCAUAUAACCAUUAAACAUGAAAAAAUUUGAACUUCACACACAUCAGCUUCACUGCAUUAACUACAAGAAGCAAUAAACACUAAGAGUUGCUUUCUCUCGAUUUCCAGCUAGGUCUUUUUUUAUUGCUGCAAUAAGAAUUUUCACACCAAGUCCUUCAUUACACGAAAUAACAUUAUGGUAGCCUAAGGAUGAGGAGGGAAAUAAGGUGGAAGGGGUGGGAAAUAUCCAAUCUUGGGGUGGUGGAAGUACUUUGGUGGAAACUUGGGAUGGUGGAAGUACUUUGGAGGAAGCUUAGGAAGAGGAGUAAUGGGUGGGAAAGGUUUCUUAUAUAUUGGAACCAGUGGUGGAAGUGGCUUUGUGUAUACCGGAACUAGAGGUGGGAAUGGCUUCUUGUAAAUAGGAAUUGGUGGAUGCGUAUAAACUGGUAGAGGUGGGAAUGGUUUCUUGUAAAUAGGAAUCGGUGGAUGUGUAUAAACUGGUAGAGGUGGGAGUGGCUUCUUGUAAAUAGGAAUUGGUGGAUGUGUAUAAACCGGUAGAGGUGGGAGUGGCUUCUUGUAAAUAGGAAUUGGUGGAUGCGUAUAAACCGGUGGUUUUGGCUUUGGUUUGUAAACUGGAAUUGGUGGAUGCGUAUAAACCGGUGGCUUUGGCUUUGGUUUGUAAACUGGAACUGGGGUAGGGUUGUAAACUGGUGGUUUUGGUUCGUAAGUAGGAACUGGUGGUGGAAGCGGCUUUGUAUAUACUGGAACUGGUGGUGGAAGCGGCUUUGUAUAUACUGGAAUUGGUGGUGGAAGUGGCUUUGUAUAUACUGGAACUGGCGGUGGAAGCGGGUUCUCAUAUAUUGGUACCGGUGGUGGGAAAGGCUUUUUGUAAAUUGGAGGGAAAGGAAUUUUGUGUUUUGGUGGAAGAGGGAAUAUAUGACCAAAGUGUUUGAAUGGUGGGAGGUACUUUUUCCAUGGGUGUUGAGGCAAAGGUGGUAGUUUGGGUAGUGGAGGAUACUUGUAGUGAGGCCAUAAGAAGGCUGAAGUGCACAAAGCUGUUGAGAAUUUCAGUUUUCCUGUUGGGCCAAAAGUGUGCUUUUCCUCAGAUUUCGAUUGGAAAAUAAUCUUUGAGGCCUCUAUGCCACUGUGAGCAGGGCAUGGUGCUGCUGAUGCACUGUGCAGCUGUGCAUAGCAUUCCUCCUUCAAUUUUCCAUCUUUUAUGAUUUCCUUAGGAAGAUUAACCUUGAAUUUUCCUUCUUUGUCUAGCUCUCCAACUCCUCUUGUUUGGAAUUCUCCUUUGUUGGACUUGCAUUCAACCGUUACACGAAGCCCUGCAUGCACAAAAUUGUAUUAAUUGAUCGUCAUAUAUUAAAAUCUUCAAUUUCAAUAUCUUUAUUGCUUGGACUAAUUCAUUGAAAAAGUGCCAAAAAAGAAGAAAGAAUGUACUCCAAGAUCAGAAAAGAAAGAAGUUUAUAUACCAGAAAAGGCUUGGCUAGUCUUAAUGUUAGUCUCCUUACAGUCUGCACAUUCUCCUAGCCCAACUACCUCAACUGUUUUAUCAUCACCAUAGCAGAGACUCACAGAGACUAAUAAUGAAACCAAGAACCCGAGAAGUACUCCUCGGGAAACGAAAAGAAUCCGCAUUGGGAACAACACCUUACGGUCCCAGGACCGUAUUCCUUGUAACAGAAAAUUAAGGCCACACAAACAAAAUGCAGCCCUUGAAGCUGAUCAGAAGCUAUAAGCUUCUAUAAAAUGACUUGAUCAGUGAGUGAGCGAGUGUUUAGUAACAAUGACCAUUGUUAUAUAUAAUGAUAUGGUGAAGUGGCUUGAAUAUCACACCGACAAAAAGUUAUGAAGCUCACCUGGGCCUAUGGUCCCAUGGUGCUAGAUUUGAGCUUUGAGGGUUCAACCAGCAAAAUGCAAUAGCAGGUUCAUUCAAUGAGGUAUCAACUGCAUUCUAUGUCUUUAUGUGAUCACCUCUCUUUCUCUAUAUGGUUGUAAACCUACUUACCACCUCUCAUUAAUACCUUUUCCUCUAUCAGCAUCAGGGUUAAAUUAUUUUUGCUGAUAUAUGUAUUAUUCAUGCUUUUGACAAAGUUCUUGAAAAAAAUUUAAAGUAUAUAAUUAAACCUCGGUUUAACACAGUUGGGAAGAUUGAGAGGAAAUGAGUAAAUAUGUAAUGCAUGCAUUUAUGGUGAUGGAGAAUAAAUCACAAUUUCACAGGAAUGAAACCAUGUUUGCAAACUCCAAGGAAUGUGACCUAUAUAGAUAAGGAGCCAUCACACAGAAGAUAGAAUUUCCAAGAAGAUUUUCUUAUCAAUGUACUGACAUUUAUAUGCAUUCACCCUGAAUUUUUUAUUUUUUAUUAUAAAAAAGUUAAGAAAAAUGUGUGUAACAUAUACUAAUUCUUGAAUAUGCUCCUUGGUAAUAGUAUAAUGCAACUCUAUCUCUUAUAUUCAUGGAAAAUACUACAUGGUUACCUUGUAUUGUGCUGUUUUUCAUUGCGCUUUGUAUUAAAGGGGAAAAAAAUACAACAGAAAAUAAAAAAUAGUCUUUUAUUACAUUGCAAAAGUUUCAGCCGAAUUAUUAUUGCGCAUAAGUAGGAAAUGUGUAUAUCAUUUUCCAAUAAAAAAUAAAAUAAAUGGACACUGUGUUGUCUAUGAUAUUCUCUGGAUUAAGACUUUAAGCUUAAUGAUAAGCAAUCUAUAUAUUUGGCAAAAAGUCAGGUUCUCUCAUCUCUCUUUCACACACACACACACACACACGGUUGAUUAAACAGAGCUUAAACAUCUUUGUCCACAAAUAUGGUUCAUUAAUGAUGUUUUACAACACAGAUCACAUGACUUGAAAGCUUGCAUUUUUAAGCAAAUGGUCAAUGAAUUUUGUUAAAAGAAAAUUUAGAGUAUUUAAAGUCUAUAGUGUUCAAUUGACUUUAUUACCUCUUUUCUUUUCUUUAAACACGCUUAGGUUUGUUGGAGGGAAUAGUUUAUAAAAGGGAAGCAUUUCCAGUCUAUUAAUUAGCCUAUAAUGUUGUUGCUUGGCAGUUGGCACAACAAUAAAAGUAUACCACUAAAAGUAGGUUUUAAUUAGAAUCAAUUAUUUUUCCAUCAUUUGUAGAAACUCACCAUAAAUGAAUUUGUACUAUAAAAAAAAAAACAAGUGACCACAUAUUUAACAUGAAUAGCUAGCUGGCUGGAAGAGGACUCAUCCAAACAAAUUAACUUCAAGGUUGCUAAGAGAUUUUAUGUUGGCUUAAAUAUGAUUUACUACCCUAAACUAUAUGCCAUAUUCCACUUCGGUGAUCCACCUUUCAAUUUUGUCAAUUAGGUGAUUGAACUAUCAAUUUUUUUCGAUUUCAUUCAAUUGGGUCUGCCACGUCAGAAAUUGCUGACGUGGCAUCCUAAUAGGCAGCAGGAGUGUUUAUAUGUAAAAACAUUAUAUAUUUUUAAUGAGAUCAAAGGACAAAAAGGUAAAAUAACAAAUAAAACAACUAAAAAUUACACAAAUAAUAUAAAUUAGUUGUAUAAUUAUUUAUUUAUAGUUAUAUAAAUAAUAUAAAUUAUUAUAUAAAUAAUAUAAUAAUAUCACCGAAGUAGAAUAUGGCCUAUAGUUUAGGGUAGUAAAUCAUAUUUAAGCCUUUUAUGUUUUACAUACAUAUAAUUUAACUCUUUACAAAUGGUUAGCCAUAAAAUUAGUGUCAUUCAGUUUUAAUAUUAUUAUUUAACAUGAGCUGAUUAUGAAAAUUUGGCAAUUUGUCUUAAAAUGAAUAGUUUGGCUAGCAAAUGGUAAAGAUGAUGGCAUUAAUUAUUAACAUGUGAUGAUUUUUGUACGAAGAAUUGUGGACAAUAUAUCCCCAACCCCAUCACUUUGAGUUGUGAUGUUGUCAAAGCCAUAAUGAAGCACCUUAGUUGGUGAUAGUUUGGUGAAGCAGUUGAGUAUUUACUUGUAUUAAUUACAUUUUAGUCAAACAUUGUUUUCAUAUUGCCUCUCCACUAUUUACAAUUGUAAUUUUAAUUUUCAUUUAAUUUAUAUAUGGUUAAGGUUAACCAUAUGCAUCUAUCUGAUUAAGCCAUAAAUUACCUUUACAAGUCGCAAUCAGCUCAGUGGAAAGAACUUGGGCAUCCGCUGGCUUGAUAGAGUUGGCCAAUUAUGCAAUAGAUAGAUGGAUAUUAUUAUUAAAUGAACUUGUGAUGAGCCUUUUUAUUACCAAUUCUUUACCUUCAUUGCAAUAAUGCAGGAACUAUAUUUAGUUUGGAUGNNNNNNNNNNNNNNNNNNNNNNNNNNNNNNNNNNNNNNNNNNNNNNNNNNNNNNNNNNNNNNNNNNNNNNNNNNNNNNNNNNNNNNNNNNNNNNNNNNNNCCAGCAACGUUGCAGAAACAUUUUGCAGGUUUUCGGUUUGGUGAAAGCUAUAUAUUG
rnacentral:lncRNA from 1 species